CUCAGGACGAACGCUGGCGGCGUGCUUAACACAUGCAAGUCGAACGGAAAGGGCCUUCGGGGUACUCGAGUGGCGAACGGGUGAGUAACACGUGGGUGAUCUGCCCUGCACUUUGGGAUAAGCCUGGGAAACUGGGUCUAAUACCGAAUAUGACCAUGCGCUUCCUGGUGUGUGGUGGAAAGCUUUUGCGGUGUGGGAUGGGCCCGCGGCCUAUCAGCUUGUUGGUGGGGUAAUGGCCUACCAAGGCGACGACGGGUAGCCGGCCUGAGAGGGUGACCGGCCACACUGGGACUGAGAUACGGCCCAGACUCCUACGGGAGGCAGCAGUGGGGAAUAUUGCACAAUGGGCGCAAGCCUGAUGCAGCGACGCCGCGUGAGGGAUGACGGCCUUCGGGUUGUAAACCUCUUUCAGCACAGACGAAGCGCAAGUGACGGUAUGUGCAGAAGAAGGACCGGCCAACUACGUGCCAGCAGCCGCGGUAAUACGUAGGGUCCGAGCGUUGUCCGGAAUUACUGGGCGUAAAGAGCUCGUAGGUGGUUUGUCGCGUUGUUCGUGAAAACUCACAGCUUAACUGUGGGCGUGCGGGCGAUACGGGCAGACUUGAGUACUGCAGGGGAGACUGGAAUUCCUGGUGUAGCGGUGGAAUGCGCAGAUAUCAGGAGAACACCGUGGCGAAGGCGGGUCUCUGGGCAGUAACUGACGCUG
rnacentral:rRNA from 1 species